rnacentral:rRNA from 1 species
UACGUAGGUGGCAAGCGUUGUCCGGAUUUAUUGGGCGUAAAGGGCGCGCAGGCGGUCCGUUAAGUCCGAGGUGAAAUCUCCCGGCUCAACUGGGAGGGGUCUUCGGAUACUGGCGGACUUGAGGAGUGCAGAGGUGAGUGGAAUUCUCGGUGUAGUGGUGAAAUGCGUAGAUAUCUGGAGGAAUACCGGUGGCGAAGGCGGCAUCCUGGACCAUUACUGACGCUGAGGCGCGAAAGCUAGGGGAGCAAACGGG